rnacentral:rRNA from 1 species
AGGAUUAACGCUGGCGGCGUGCAUGAAACAUGCAAGUCGAGCGCGGCGCGUGGCUUCGGUCACGCGUCUAGCGGCGCACGGGUGAGUAACACGUGAGCAACCUACCUUCGAGUUCGGGAUAGCCCUGGGAAACCAGGAUUAAUACCGGAUGUGGUCACAACGGGACAUCCCGAUGUGAAAAAAGGCGCAAGCCGCUCGAUGACGGGCUCGCGGCCUAUUAGCUUGUUGGUGGGGUAACGGCCUACCAAGGCGACGAUGGGUAGCUGGUCUGAGAGGACGAUCAGCCACACUGGGACUGAGACACGGCCCAGACUCCUACGGGAGGCAGCAGUUAGGAAUUUUCCGCAAUGGGCGAAAGCCUGACGGAGCAACGCCGCGUGUGUGAUGAAGGCCUUCGGGUUGUAAAGCACUGUCGGAGGGAAGAAGUGAAUGACGGUACCCUCCAAGAAAGCCCGGCUAACUACGUGCCAGCAGCCGCGGU